rnacentral:tRNA from 1 species
UCCGGAGUAGCUCAGCGGUAGAGCAGGCGACUGUUAAUCGCCUGGCCGUAGGUUCGAUUCCUACCUCCGGAGCCA